rnacentral:rRNA from 1 species
GGAGGAUCCGAGCGUUAUCCGGAUUUAUUGGGUUUAAAGGGAGCGUAGAUGGGUUGUUAAGUCAGUUGUGAAAGUUUGCGGCUCAACCGUAAAAUUGCAGUUGAUACUGGUUUCCUUGAGUACAGUUGAGGUAGGCGGAAUUCGUGGUGUAGCGGUGAAAUGCUUAGAUAUCACGAAGAACUCCGAUUGCGAAGGCAGCUUACUAACCUGUAACUGACAUUGAUGCUCGAAAGUGUGGGUAUCAAACAGGAUUAGGUACCCUGGUAGUCCACACGGUAAACGAUGAAUACUCGCUGUAGGCGAUAUACAGUCUGCGGCCAAGCGAAAGCAUUAAGUAUCCCACCUGGGGAGU